rnacentral:rRNA from 1 species
GACGAACGCUGGCGGCGUGCUUAACACAUGCAAGUCGAACGGAAAGGCCCUGCUUUUGUGGGGUGCUCGAGUGGCGAACGGGUGAGUAACACGUGAGUAACCUGCCCUUGACUUUGGGAUAACUUCAGGAAACUGGGGCUAAUACCGGAUAGGAGCUCCUGCUGCAUGGUGGGGGUUGGAAAGUUUCGGCGGUUGGGGAUGGACUCGCGGCUUAUCAGCUUGUUGGUGGGGUAGUGGCUUACCAAGGCUUUGACGGGUAGCCGGCCUGAGAGGGUGACCGGCCACAUUGGGACUAGGAUACGGCCCAGACUCCUACGGGAGGCAGCAGUGGGGAAUAUUGCACAAUGGGCGGAAGCCUGAUGCAGCAACGCCGCGUGCGGGAUGACGGCCUUCGGGUCGUAAACCGCUUUCGCCUGUGACGAAGCGUGAGUGACGGUAAUGGGUAAAGAAGCACCGGCUAACUACGUG